ensembl:lncRNA
UCCACCACCAACACCACACAUAGGUGGAUUGGCGCGGGGCGAAAAUAGGGUGUUGGAGGCUUUGUUGUCAAAAGCGUCUUUAAGGCCAUUCUGAAAUAUUAAAAUAAACACAAAGCAUUAAGAAAAAGCUAUGUAGUAGAGAGGAACAAACUUACUUCUCUGUCAGCUUUCACAGGACUGAGGCAAAUCACCGAGACGGACUUUUGCCCGCGAAUUUUUUAUAUGGAUUUUUGACAGUGAUUUUGACAGUGAUGAGUUCAAAAGCGCUCCGAUGAUGUCGGAUAUAAUGGCUGCUGACGUAAGUGUUUGCCUGAUACACCGCGUAGGAGCUUAAUGUUGCUAUUUCCAAAACUAGAUUUAGCAAGGUAAUAGUGUCACGAAUUAGUCUCGUAUUAUGUACUAAAAAAGCAUUAGUGAAUUCAUAUUAUGCCUUAGGAAAACAUUACUUAAUCAACUUUUCACAUUUGAAGAAUUAACCACAUGUAUUGACCAUAUCUUGUUGUCAAUUUAUCAGCUUAUACUAUAGUAUCUCGCUGAUGAUACGAAUGCUCUUAAAGGACAACUAUAGAUUUCAUAAAAUGCAUUAUGACAGCUGAGGAAUUAAGCUUUGAGGUUUGUUUGGUACAGUUUCUAUCGAACCCGGAAUUUUGAGAGCGUAAUGCCCAAAUGUUCCUGAAUGCAUCAAUCAAAUCUAACGUCACAUCAACGCAUCUCCGUCAAAUUCCUCUGAAGUCUUGACCGACCAUAACGGCUGGUGACUCUAAAGUGCAAGUUCACACAUCAAUUCAGAUAUUGCUCCUGCCAGUGUUGGUGACUCCUUGGAUAUUUGACAGUGUCCUGCUGUCCAGCAUCUCUCCCCCCUAUCCCUAUCUUUGUAUCCCUCUUCUAUCCCACUCUAUCUGUAUACGGAAGCCUGAAAACCCUGAUAUUCUGAAACCUGAACCCUGAACCCUGAAACCUGAACCUAAGGUUAUUGCAACCUGUCUGAACAGAACUCUGAGAGUAUCUCCACUCUUCCGCUCUCUGUCUCUCCUCUGAACACUCACUCACCCGGGUUAUUGGUACCUGAUCUACCUUUUUGAAUGAUCUGAGAGAUUCUCUUCUCUCACUCUCACCUCUCUCCUAUCAACUCCUAUAUUUAUACAAUACUAUUACUAUUACUGUUACUAAUUUGACAAAACAUUUGAAAUUUACUAUUAAUGAGAUUAACAAAAUUGGCCUGAACAAAGAAUUGAAAAGUUAAUUCAGAAGCUGAAAAAAAGUACAAAUCUUUUGUUAUAAUUGAAAAAACUACACCUUGAUCCAAAGAAUUGGAUUGUAAAAAAAAGUACUGUUUAUAAUUGAAUCAGGUAGAUUUCCUGAUACACUAUUUGCAAAAGUGCAUUGAAUUAACAUAAUUAAAGACAACUGCACUCUGAUACAUAAUAAAAUACAUAACUAUUACAAAUCCAUAUUAGAGAAGUGUAUUUGCUCCUGAUCGCUGUUGCUGUGGACCUCUGUUGGUUUGUACUCAAAGGUUUGUUUUGUGAGCAAACACUGUUGUUAACUUGAUUAGUCUACGUACAAGGAAAAAUAAUCCCGCUACAUGCAUUGAAUCAAUUAUACCUAAUUAAUGAAUACAUAAUUUUUUCUUAUAAACUUACAUUGUGCAUAUCAGUGUUUUGUUGUUUAUACUGAAAUAAAACACAGACGUCAACCAGGAAGAAGUGGAUUCAUCAGGAGUGGCUGUUUCCUGCUGAUCCAACGUUCUUCAGAAGUAUCCAUCUGUCAUCACACUCCCACAACAACUGCUCCUGAAUAUAAACAAUAGCCUAAUAAAGUAUUAAGAUCAUUUCUACCAGUAAAUUUAGCCAUUUGAAAUCUGAAGGGCCCUUUGAGUCAACUGGUUCCAAGUUGUGUGUUUGUGGUAGACUUCAGUUUUUACAUUGAUUAUAUAUUUCCACAGACAAGUCAAGGUCUCAGUAAGCAAUAUCUCUUACAUAUUAAAUACCAUCGGUCACUUUAGUACAUGGUACUUACGCAGACAGACAUACUAAGACCUGAUUGCAGUAUUAAAAUCUAGAAGUGCUUUGUCUAGACCCUCAUAUAUUAGAAUACGUCAGGUGGAUAAUUUCGUUGUGUUUUUUAUUAAAACUAUAAAAUAAU